rnacentral:tRNA from 1 species
AGAGGCUUAGGAUAAGCAGACCAAGGACCUUCAAAGCCCUAAGCAGGAGUGAAAACCUCCUAGUCUCUG